AGCAGAAAAAAAAAAACUAAGAUAAUUAAAUUAUUCAUAGUUUGCAUGUGGAUUGUUGAAAUGGAUAGCCUGAAGUUUAAUUUAGCUUAUAGCUGACCAAAAUUACCUCACAGAUCCAAGAUAUCUGCAAAUAGGUGUGGGACUCAAUAGGAAAUUGCAAAAUGCUGUUUUGUCAUUAUGUGGAGUUUGGUUGUUUUUUUUAUUUUAAGCAUAUCACAUAGUUUUAUUUUAGUAUGAAUGGUGACCAGAAUUUUAAAUCCAAUACUGCCAAAGUAGGCCCAGUAGGCAGAAAUCGAAGUGGGUGAUUCACUCCAAGCUUAGCACUUUUUUUAUCACUAUCACAUAGGUUCCUUGUCAGAGCUUUGCUAAUGAGGAUUAAAUCUAACUGUUUUAGGUUGGGUUUGAUUCCCUGCGUGGGGAGUCCGUGUACGAGUUUAUAGGUUAACAUUAAAUUGCCGAUAUAUCACGUCCAAGGUGGGAAAGAAAUGGGCAUUAUUGAAAAUCACAUCUUCUUUGUUCUAAUCCACUGCAGAAGGUAAUUGACUACUAAAUACACUCUGCCCUGUAAGGUUGGCACAUAGAAACAGGCAUGCCAACUCAAGAAGAUCUAUUAUUCUCAAAUUUAUAUUUUCUUUCUUUUUUUUCAAUGUAUAUUUUUGUAAGUUCAAUAAAGAUUUCUUUUGUCCAUAAAUUUUGAAUCCAGGGGACAGACAAAAAAUGAAAAGGAAUAAAAAACAUGGCACGUCCAUUAGGCCCCUUCUGGUUGUGGGUAAUAUGAAGUAAUAUAUGCAGCUGUUUGCUUUGGUCAAGAGUGCCAGCAAUCGUACUGUUAUUUGAAAUGUUGAUUGCAAUGUAAGAGGGAAAAAAAAAAAUCCAACAUAAAAUUUUCUAACUGCAAAAAAAUAAAAAGUAAAUAUUUAAUUUUUGUUUUGUUUUUUAUUAGAACAAGGCUCCCUCCUUGUUCAAUAUGUGUUUACAAUGAUACAAGUCGCUCACACAUUCAGAGCUGUAUAUAUCAUUUUGUUUUUGGAGUCUUCAACCAAAGCUGCCUGUACAGAUAAUCUGGACCUAUAUGGCAGCCCUACAGACCAGUAGUGAUGGGGAAUUGUAUCAAUUUACAGGAAGAGAGUCCAGUUACUACUGAACGAGUCGCUGCUAUGACAUAGCUUUUUCUUGCAUUGUUUUGCUUGUACAGCGGCUUAUGAUCAGCUAUCAAGCAACAGAGAGCAGUUUGUUAAGCUGCAGAGUGUGUCUAAAUAAGGACUGAUAGCAAAACCAAGUGCCUGAAAGGGAGAAGUUUAAUAGGCUAAAUUGACUUUGUAAUGGAGCUAAAUAAGGUGAAAAACUCCAUCAAAUGUGAACUUGAACCACCAUUUUUGAAGCAUCUUUGCUAUAUCAAACUUCAUUCAAAAGCUCAUCUCCAAGUGAACUGUGUAUCUAUAUUUAGGCUAAAAAAUAUUCCAUGUAUGAUGGGAAGUUAUCAAACACGGAAUAUACAAUUUUCUUUAUAUAAAGUGUUUUGAUAAAUAUUUGGGUAUCAAGAGGCAUUUUAAUGUAAUUUUUUUUUAAAAACCUAAUAGAAGUUCCGCAACAUCAUCUGUGCAUGUCCUGUUUUAAACCUAAUUGCUUUGCUUAAUGGCAGGCGCAAAUAGAAAUAACUAUAGGUAGAUGCUUAAAGGGACACUCCAGACCCCUAAAGCACUUUAGCGUGCUGAAAAGUUUUGUGUGAAGAAUUUGUUUGGAAGAUUUCAUUUUGGAAAAAGUGCAAAUUUCUAAAGAAAUUGACACUUUUAUAAAUUAACCUGGUUACACCACCUAUGCCUUCAAGCAGACAGUGGGUUCUGUUACUUCCUGGUUUGGUUAUCUCAAUGGCUCCGAGUACCUGCCUUGCAAAGACUUCUCAUUGAGUUGCAUUGGGAAGUCUGUGAUUGGACAGCCACAGAAAGUCUGACAGGGUAGGGCUUGCAAAGGCAGCAGACGAGAUCUUCAGGUUCUGCAAGUUAUUUUUAGAUAUAACUCUCAAUUAACAAAAUGCGUAAUUAAAUGCAUGCAACUUUUCAUCUGGGCUUCAUUUACUAAAAAGUGAUUUAUUUGAUUCAUUAUGUAUUUGGGCAGUGGAGUGUCCCUUUAAUGAUCCUACCAAAUAAUUAAGGACAUACAUAUGCAUCUCUUUUGGAUCUAAUUUUUCAGAGGCCAGAGUAAAAUUUUAAUUCAGUUAAAUAAAAAUAUAGAAACAAUCUCAGAGAAAUAUGACAGUCCAAACUGUACUGAUCACAUCUCGGAGCGUUUCAACCAAGGUAUUAAUCUAGCAAUUUGGAUGCAGCAGGUUCAGCUUGCAUUGCAUUGUGGGUAACGGAUGCCAUUUGCUACUGCUAAUCAAAAAUGUUGUAACUUUGUUUUACCUUGCUAUGUAACAAUCCUGAUUAUUUCCUUAAAUUCUCAUCCCUCCCCCCCUAAAUCUGCACAACAUUUAACUAAUACACUAUUAAAACCUCUCCAAUACAUUUUUUUUUUUGUUUAAACCAGAAAUGCGGGCCCUGUGAUAUCUAAAAACAUUUUCUUUAGUCCAGUUCGGCAGUGCAGUCUGUCUGUUGCUUUCUCUCUCUCUCUUUUAAUGUUGCGGUGUAUGAGGCCGUAGGGAUACUAUUUCUGCGGCUGUUUCCUGUAUAAAAGGAAAGGUCCCCCUGCACACCCAGCCCUGUGUGAAAAUAGCAACAGUUGUCUCCCUUCCCCCUCCACUAACUAACCCUAUAACAUACAAGUCAGUUUUUCUAGCCCUGAGCAUGUCGGUCAGUUUGGGGAGAAGGCUAUUUUAAUCGUAAUAAACUUAUUCAUUUGAAUUAAUUUUUAUUUUUUUAUUUUGUUUGUGUGUACUGUAUCAAAUUUCCAUUCAAAUAGAAAAGAUUUCAUUAUCUUUUUUUGUCUAGAUCCCUGAUGCCAUCGCGUUUAGAGAACAGGCUUGUUUAUUUACAAAAAUUUUUGCUGGCAGUUAAAAAAUAAUAAUAAUAAAAAAACAAACAAACAAAAAACCCCAAAACUGAAUUUAAGAGAAAUAACUUUUUACUGGUAUUUUACUACUUUUUCUGACAGCCCAUUAGGAGGAGAUCAUUUUUAAUGUGUAGAUAUAUAAAUUGAAAGAAUGUGUAACCCAUUGAGUGCCGAAUAUGUGCUCAAAGCCUUGCAAGGCAAUGUGCUGGACGUAUUUUGGGACAAACAGUUGAAGCUUCAAUCCAAGCACUGGAAUAUUAUUGUAGUCUAUCACUCUAUAAAGCAUUAACCAUGCAAUAUAAUUAAAUAAAAAUGUUGAAUGCUCUCAUUAUGUGAAAUGCAGGGGUUGCAUUUUAGCCAAUCAUAAGAGUGCACUUUUUAGAUCCUAAGGAGUUAAAUUUGUUUCUGCCUUCUUUGUCCCUAUUUCCUUCCAGUGUUAGUAAGUGGAGAGCUUUGUGCACAACAAGCCCAACAUUGUACUGUCUGUGUCUGUAUCCCACACUCAUCAAGAUUGGCGGCUAGCAGGACAUAUCCUAAAUCUUGAUUUUAUUCACAAAUCAAGUGAAAACUGACCAAUAAAAUAAAUAAAAAAAUAUUUAUAAAUAUAUAAUAUAAACAUAGAUUAUUAUUUUUGUUACUGCUCCUUUUUUAUUUCUUUUGGUUACUUUUUCUCGAUAUGUGAACAAGCAGUUCUGACAGUCUCUAUUCCUUUUGCUGGGUUUUGAAGAUGCUGACUGCUGGAGGGGGUGGUCUCCUGUGUUUGCAGAAUACCGCUCCAUUCCCUGGUCUUGUCCGUGGUAAUUGAAAUCCAGAAGGGGAUCCUCUCCAGGCUGUGUAUGCUAAUGUUCUUUGACAACUUGGUGUUUUUGCCAAAGUUCUCCAAACGCAUGACAGGGUGAAAAGCACUUGGUGAACUUACGUAAAAAGACUUUGGUGACUCCAUUUCCCACUUGUGACAUGCUUCCAUCUUAUGCAGAGCAACAGAAUGCUAGAAGCCCAUCGAUUUGCCAUUUAUUGGCUGAGAGCAUCAGCUGACCACUCUGUCAAUGAAUGGCACACUGUGGGGGAAAAUUUGCACGUAACUGGCAUUAGGCAGCCUGGAACCUUUGUUCGAAGUUGGCUUAUGACACUUAAAUGACACCACCGGAGCUGAAGUUAAACUCUGUAGACGUUAAACUUUGUAUAAGCAGUGUUUCAUACUGAAACUUUGCAUAUACAGACUCUAGGCACCAUGACAAUUUGAAAACAUUGAAGUGGUCACGAUGCUUGGAGUGACCCUUUAAAUGUUGGUUUUGGUUUAAUGCAGUUUACUGGUUAAACCCCUAAGAUUUUAUAUUACCACACGUGUAACACAACUGCAUACACUUAAGAUAAAAAUCUUAUCACUUAUAUAUUUAUAUUAACAAUAACUUAUCACCCAUGAUAAGUUAUUGUUCAUUUGAUAAAUAUAAACCUGUAAAAUCCAUCAUUUGCCCUGAUUUAUUCUUCACUCCGGGAUCAAAUCAAGUAAUAGUCAGUAACGAGAUGUGACGCAGUACUUUUAAAAAGCUAGCUGUUUUACCAAAUGGGCCUCAUCAGAACAGCGUGUAUUUCAAAACAAGAGAGGUUAUAUCUCUGUAUGAAAACCAUUCAUAGCUGUACAGCUUAGUACCAGAAGGCUUUCUCCGGAGCUAGUUAAUGGGGGAUAUAAGAACUUGGAUGAUCAAGUGCAUUCUUUUCAUGCAUAUUUUGAUAAGAGAUAUUAGCCAGAGUUUAUUUUUCUACAGGUUAACUCUUUAAUAACCUUUCCAGCACUGACGUCUUUGCCUGUGAAUCACUCAUUUUGCUAUUGUCUGCAACGAUAAAAUAACAAACAAGGAUAAAAAGAUUUAAGGUUAUGUAUUUUUUUGACCUUUUUAGUUUUAGUGGAAUUGCUAAGAAUUACAGAUUGCAGUUUUCAGUGUUCAAUUAAAUAAUGUAAAACAUGACUAUGCACGGUGUAAUUUUUCAUUUUUAUUUGAGUUUGUUAGUUGAUCAUCUGUUUAAACCUACUAGAAUUGGCAAGAUUGCUAAUUCUGUUGGGUUCUAGUAAAUUAACAUGACUAUAAGACUAGGAUAAAUUAACUGGCGUACAGUAAUAGUCUGCCAGUGAAUAUAUUCUGCUCAAGAGAAGCAAUUUUUUUCUCUCCUAACCUUAGAAAAGUUCUUAUGUCAGGUGUGAAAACAGAAAGUUGCAAAAAGCAAUUACAUUUAGCCAGAAUUUCAGAUUCAAGACUACAGCUCGAUCCUUCCAUGUUGCUUCUCAUACAGAAGCACUAAGGACACAAAAUGAACAGCAGUGCUUCAUUUAGAGAAUUAAUUAUCCGCAUUUGGCAUCAUCACGUCGUGCGUGAUUAUGCUGAACAUGAAGUCAUUGAAUAUUGCAGGACGUAAGCACCUGUAGGGGGUUUUUGUUUGACAGCCACUAGACGCAUUUUCAGCCAAAUGUAAACGUUGCAGUUUCUCUAAAAAACAGCAGUGUUUUAUACAUUGUAGGAAAAAAGGGAAUCCUCUACGUACCAAAGCCACUACACUAAAAUGUAGUGGUUAUGUUACUUAAAGUGUCCUUUUAAAACCGUAAAUAACCACUUGCCAUUAUUCUUCCCGGUAUGUACAGCUAUAACGUUAUGACCCAGUAGUUGGCACUAAAAUAUCAAUGCCCUUUUUUUUUUUUUUUGUUUAAACUAUAAUGAUUUAUACAUCACUAUUGUAUGUUCUUUGCAAACAGAGUCUGUGAAUGUUCUGAUAUAUUUCAGAGCUUGUGUACGCUUUGCUGCAUUUGGUUAGCAGCCAAAAAUGUCACUAUAAUUUUAUUUUUAUUUUAUCAUAGGUGCAGCAUCCAACCCUCCAUUGUAUAAGAGAAAUAAAGGGCACAUUCAGUGAGCUCAGCCAUUCCUAGUCCAGACAAAAAUAAUUUAGUUUGAAAAUAACACACCUGAAAAUAAUUAAAAUAGAAACAUUCUCCUUGAGGUGUUUCUGUCAACAGAAAUAGUCUCCAUGCCAUGAGAAUGUAUAAUAUUUGGGCACUGUUUGGUUAUCCCACAUUAUUUGCUGCUUUUUUUUUCUUUCAGCAACACAGAGGGUUUGUAAAUAGUGAUACAAUUAUAAAAUGGCCACCUGCACACUGAAACACUAUCAGAUAAUAAUUCUAGUUAGACCAUAGCUUGAAAUAUAUUAAUCUGUUUGCUUUACUAUUAUUUAUUUCUCCCCUCCCCCACCCUCCCACACACAAAAUAUUUCAGAGGGGAACAGAGGAUGGAUCAUCUGCUACUGUGGAACUACAACUACAAGACUAGCAAAGUGUAGAGGGAUUUUAAUAUUAGAUAUCUACUUUUUAGCCACCCAUAGCUUAGUUAAUUUACCCAAAGCAAAGUUAUAGAGGAUAACUACAUUUAAAAACAAACAAUAUGGUGGUUCAGUAGAGCUUUCGUUUUUCAGACAGCGUUUUAUGACCAGAAAUUGCUUAUAUGCAAAAGUAAAUUGUGACAGGAAAUGAUAAGGAAUUAGAAAAGGAUGUAUAACAUUCUGAUUACAAUGUCAUAUUAAUAGUUUAUAGUCUCAUAGAUUUACACUGGCUGCAGGGCAAGAUAACAGUCGCUGCUAGUAGUACUAUGAUCUGUGUGAGCUUGCUGAAAUAAAUGCAAGUUUUUUUUAAAAAAAGUAUUCAACAAAAUAAUAUGUGCAAAUUUCCUUUAACAGGGAAGUUAUAUUUUAGCUGAAUGCUUCCUUACCUUUGAACCAUGAAUAUUUUUAUUACCACUAUUAAUAAUAAGCAUUAUUUUACUUGCAAUUAUAGAUCAGAUGUAGCACCCCCUAUUGGCACUGGUAGGCCCUGGCCAGAGAUAUUAAUGAUGACCCCUCUCCAUUUUUAAGUAACGAGUUGCUAGUGGAAUGCAUAUUAGAUCACUGUAAUAUUUGUGUUCCUUUUCUCUUAUCCAAUAUUUCCUGUCUCUUACUCCCUCCUCCAUUUAUUUUCUAGAUGUCUGCCUGUCUGGGAUACCAAAUUAGUCAUUUUACUGAUUUACGUAUGAGUGGGAUUUACAUCUUAAACUAUUUAAUUCUACCUGUUCAAAUAGAAUCUAACUGCUGGACACAUCACAUAAUGAGUUAAAACUAUGUAGUAGAAGUAAUUUAUAUAUAUGUUGCACAACCUUUAAAUAAUCCUUCAAACCCAUUUUUGUAUGAUGCUUGGCCCUCUGUUUAAAGGAACGGACUGAAAAUCAAGAAUCGGUUACUCUCGAAUCGAUGUCUCUAGUUUAGAUGAUGACAGGUGAUAAUUCUUCAGGGCUUGAAAACCUAAGAUUUAUCACCUUGGGCAUUUGCUAAAAAAAUCAGUGUUUGGCUGUUAGGUCUGGCUGUGCCAACUGGCAGCUUAGAAACACAGCUGAUUCUAAAGUAAAUAAUGUUCACCACUCACAUAAGUUGUUCACUGCGAAUAAAUUCAAUGUUAACCCAGUCAGGAGAAUUCCUCCAAGAAAAUAAUAUUUUGAUGGGAAACCUCAAUUUCUGACAAGUGUCAAAGAGCUUAGAGCACUCAGUUUGUACAUGACAUACACCACAUUUUCACUUUGGAGAUGCGCUUUUGGAAUUUAGUCAAGAACAAAUGUCCACUAAUAUUAUUCUGGUUUCUGUCUUAAGGACAUUUUAUAUCUGUCUGGAAAAUAUAUGAUUGUGGUAUUAAAGAGAGUGUACCUUAUUUAGUUCUCUGUGUAUUCUGCAAUGAAUGAUUGGAAUAUGGGAUAUAACCUUCUAUAAACUAAAAGGUUAAAUUAACAAUGACCGCUUACUAUGUUAUAAAAAUAAAUCAAAGUACUGCUGUCUCUUAAGUUAUUGCUGGGGGGUGACACAAAUGGAAAAAAAAUAUAUGAUGCAGUAUGGAGUAAUAUAUUUUUAAGAUCAAUUUAAGCAAAGGUGCAGCUUCAUGAAUCUCUGCUGUGUUGUAUGAAUUCCAUAGAGUGUGCAAUCGAUUAACAGAGCUCUCUAGAAAGGGAAGAGGGCAUGUAAUUCUGUUCAAAGAAGGGAUAUUGUAAUGUCUGUAAUUAUAGCAAAUUUCUAUUGUAAAGGCUGUGAUCUUUUAACAAUUAAGUAAAAUCUUUUUUUUUGUGUUCUCUUUCUUUGAUGUAAAGAUAAUUAUAUAAUGAAAUGAACACGUGCAAAUCAUUUUCUUUAUAAAUGGUUCUAUUUAAUUUCGCCCUUAAAGGGAUGUUUAAGAGAGAUUAUUAUUAAUAAAAUGAAAUAAUAAAAUAAGAAAAAACUUUUAAAGAACCUUAAUUGAGUGUGUGUGUUAUUUAUAGUUGAUAAAUGAAUGUCUCAUUAUGCUUUUAC